rnacentral:rRNA from 1 species
ACUGGCCAUACCACCCUGAAUGUGCCCGAUCCUGUCUGAUCUCAGAAAGUCUGGGGAGGGAGGCUGGAUCAGGGAGAGGGUGAGUGGGUUUGGGCAGUU